rnacentral:rRNA from 1 species
AGAGUUUGAUCCUGGCUCAGGAUGAACGCUGGCGGUAUGCUUAACACAUGCAAGUCGAACGAAUCCCUUCGGGGAUGAGUGGCGGACGGGUGAGUAACGCGUGAGAAUUUACCAAAAGGACCGGGACAACCACUGGAAACGGUGGCUAAUACCGGAUGAGCCGAAAAGUAAAAAAGGGAAACCUGCCUUUUGAAGAGCUCGCGUCUGAUUAGCUAGUUGGUGAGGUAAGAGCUCACCAAGGCAGCGAUCAGUAGCUGGUCUGAGAGGAUGACCAGCCACACUGGGACUGAGACACGGCCCAGACUCCUACGGGAGGCAGCAGUGGGGAAUUUUCCGCAAUGGGCGAAAGCCUGACGGAGCAAUACCGCGUGAGGGAAGAAGGCUCUUGGGUCGUAAACCUCUUUUAUCAGGGAAGAAAAAAAUGACGGUACCUGAAGAAUCAGCCUCGGCUAACUCCGUGCCAGCAGCCGCGGUAAUACGGAGGAGGCAAGCGUUAUCCGGAAUUAUUGGGCGUAAAGCGUCCGCAGGUGGCUUAUCAAGUCUGCUGUCAAAGAGUGGGGCUUAACCCCAUUAAGGCAGUGGAAACUGAGAAGCUAGAGUGCCGUAGGGGUAGAGGGAAUUCCCGGUGUAGCGGUGAAAUGCGUAGAGAUCGGGAAGAACAUCGGUGGCGAAAGCGCUCUACUGGACGGCAACUGACACUCAGGGACGAAAGCUAGGGGAGCGAAUGGGAUUAGAUACCCUAGUAGUCC